rnacentral:rRNA from 1 species
CCUACGGGAGGCAGCAGUAAGGAAUAUUGGUCAAUGGGCGGGAGCCUGAACCNNNCAUGCCGCGUGCAGGAGGACGGCCCUACGGGUUGUAAACUGCUUUUGCCAGGGGACAAACCCCCGCUCGCGAGCGGGGCUGAGGGUACCUGGAGAAUAAGGAUCGGCUAACUCCGUGCCAGCAGCCGCGGUAAU